rnacentral:rRNA from 1 species
UUAAGCGACUAAGCGUACACGGUGGAUGCCCUGGCAGUCAGAGGCGAUGAAGGACGUGCUAAUCUGCGAAAAGCGUCGGUAAGGUGAUAUGAACCGUUAUAACCGGCGAUGUCCGAAUGGGGAAACCCAGUGCAAUUCGUUGCACUAUCGUUAACUGAAUACAUAGGUUAACGAGGCGAACCGGGGGAACUGAAACAUCUAAGUACCCCGAGGAAAAGAAAUCAACCGAGAUUCCCCCAGUAGCGGCGAGCGAACGGGGAGCAGCCCAGAGUCUGAAUCAGCUUGUGUGUUAGUGGAACGGUCUGGAAAGUCCGACGGUACAGGGUGAUAGUCCCGUACACCAAAAUGCACAGGUUGUGAACUCGAAGAGUAGGGCGGGACACGUGGUAUCCUGUCUGAAUAUGGGGGGACCAUCCUCCAAGGCUAAAUACUCCUGACUGACCGAUAGUGAACCAGUACCGUGAGGGAAAGGCGAAAAGAACCCCGGCGAGGGGAGUGAAAAAGAACCUGAAACCGUGUACGUACAAGCAGUGGGAGCACCUUCGGGUGUGACUGCGUACCUUUUGUAUAAUGGGUCAGCGACUUAUAUUCUGUAGCAAGGUUAACCGUAUAGGGGAGCCGCAGGGAAACCGAGUCUUAACUGGGCGUUAAGUUGCAGGGUAUAGACCCGAAACCCGGUGAUCUAGCCAUGGGCAGGUUGAAGGUUGGGUAACACUAACUGGAGGACCGAACCGACUAAUGUUGAAAAAUUAGCGGAUGACUUGUGGCUGGGGGUGAAAGGCCAAUCAAACCGGGAGAUAGCUGGUUCUCCCCGAAAGCUAUUUAGGUAGCGCCUCGUGAAUUCAUCUUCGGGGGUAGAGCACUGUUUCGGCUAGGGGGUCAUCCCGACUUACCAACCCGAUGCAAACUACGAAUACCGAAGAAUGUUAUCACGGGAGACACACGGCGGGUGCUAACGUCCGUCGUGAAGAGGGAAACAACCCAGACCGCCAGCUAAGGUCCCAAAGUCAUGGUUAAGUGGGAAACGAUGUGGGAAGGCACAGACAGCCAGGAUGUUGGCUUAGAAGCAGCCAUCAUUUAAAGAAAGCGUAAUAGCUCACUGGUCGAGUCGGCCUGCGCGGAAGAUGUAACGGGGCUAAACCAUGCACCGAAGCUGCGGCAGCGACACUAUGUGUUGUUGGGUAGGGGAGCGUUCUGUAAGCCUGCGAAGGUGUGCUGUGAGGCAUGCUGGAGGUAUCAGAAGUGCGAAUGCUGACAUAAGUAACGAUAAAGCGGGUGAAAAGCCCGCUCGCCGGAAGACCAAGGGUUCCUGUCCAACGUUAAUCGGGGCAGGGUGAGUCGACCCCUAAGGCGAGGCCGAAAGGCGUAGUCGAUGGGAAACAGGUUAAUAUUCCUGUACUUGGUGUUACUGCGAAGGGGGGACGGAGAAGGCUAUGUUAGCCGGGCGACGGUUGUCCCGGUUUAAGCAUGUAGGCUGGUUGUCCAGGCAAAUCCGGAUAAUCAAGGCUGAGGUGUGAUGACGAGGCACUACGGUGCUGAAGUAACAAAUGCCCUGCUUCCAGGAAAAGCCUCUAAGCAUCAGGUAACAUUAAAUCGUACCCCAAACCGACACAGGUGGUCAGGUAGAGAAUACCAAGGCGCUUGAGAGAACUCGGGUGAAGGAACUAGGCAAAAUGGUGCCGUAACUUCGGGAGAAGGCACGCUGGUGUGUAGGUGAAGUCCCUGCGGAUGGAGCUGAGACCAGUCGAAGAUACCAGCUGGCUGCAACUGUUUAUUAAAAACACAGCACUGUGCAAACACGAAAGUGGACGUAUACGGUGUGACGCCUGCCCGGUGCCGGAAGGUUAAUUGAUGGGGUUAUCCGUAAGGAGAAGCUCUUGAUCGAAGCCCCGGUAAACGGCGGCCGUAACUAUAACGGUCCUAAGGUAGCGAAAUUCCUUGUCGGGUAAGUUCCGACCUGCACGAAUGGCGUAAUGAUGGCCAGGCUGUCUCCACCCGAGACUCAGUGAAAUUGAACUCGCUGUGAAGAUGCAGUGUACCCGCGGCAAGACGGAAAGACCCCGUGAACCUUUACUAUAGCUUGACACUGAACAUUGAGCCUUGAUGUGUAGGAUAGGUGGGAGGCUUUGAAGCGUGGACGCCAGUCUGCGUGGAGCCAACCUUGAAAUACCACCCUUUAAUGUUUGAUGUUCUAACGUUGGCCCCUGACCGGGGUUGCGGACAGUGUCUGGUGGGUAGUUUGACUGGGGCGGUCUCCUCCCAAAGCGUAACGGAGGAGCACGAAGGUUAGCUAAUCCUGGUCGGACAUCAGGAGGUUAGUGCAAUGGCAUAAGCUAGCUUGACUGCGAGCGUGACGGCGCGAGCAGGUGCGAAAGCAGGUCAUAGUGAUCCGGUGGUUCUGAAUGGAAGGGCCAUCGCUCAACGGAUAAAAGGUACUCCGGGGAUAACAGGCUGAUACCGCCCAAGAGUUCAUAUCGACGGCGGUGUUUGGCACCUCGAUGUCGGCUCAUCACAUCCUGGGGCUGAAGUAGGUCCCAAGGGUAUGGCUGUUCGCCAUUUAAAGUGGUACGCGAGCUGGGUUUAGAACGUCGUGAGACAGUUCGGUCCCUAUCUGCCGUGGGCGCUGGAGAAUUGAGGGGGGCUGCUCCUAGUACGAGAGGACCGGAGUGGACGCAUCACUGGUGUUCGGGUUGUCAUGCCAAUGGCACUGCCCGGUAGCUAAAUGCGGAAGAGAUAAGUGCUGAAAGCAUCUAAGCACGAAACUUGCCCCGAGAUGAGUUCUCCCUGAGACUUUAAGUCUCCUGAAGGAACGUUAAAGACGAUGACGUUGAUAGGCCGGGUGUGUAAGCGCAGCGAUGCGUUGAGCUAACCGGUACUAAUGAACCGUGAGGCUUAACCUU